UGACCUGAGGCCCUGAGAGUCUCUUCUUGGACUAGAAAUGCAGAAUUCUAACAAGAUGUCAUUAUCUACAACCAGAACAAAAGCAAUACAGUGUGAAGUGUUGUCCAAUUUUCCUGUAAGCAAUUCAAACUCAUGGAAGUUUAUUACUCCAAGCAGGCUCCAGAAAGCAAUAAAUGAAGCUAAAUAUGA